GAACCGCGUUAUGAAUCAAUCAAUAAUCGAGGAUCUCGCUAUCGAUGCUAUGAUAAACGAGAGACCCCGCUAGUCGCAGCAUACGAAAACCGAGGAACACCGCUGAUGAUACCAUAAAAAAAUCGAAUGAACACGCUAAUGAAACCAAUAAAAACCGAGUACCUACCCGUAAGGAUAUGCAUACAAUAAGCGAGAUCCUCCGCUAUGAUUAUGCAUAUCCAUAAGCGGCGAUCCUCAGCUGAUGAUAUGCACAUCAUUAGCGAGGAUCCUCCGCUCAUGAUAUGCAUAUCAUAAGCGAGGAUCCCCCGCAUAUGAUAUGCAUACGCAUAAGCGGAGGAUCCUCCGCUUACUGAUAAGCAUAUCAAUAAGCGGAAGAUCCUCCGCUGAGCGAUAUAUUACGUCCCUAGCCUUGUACACACCGCCCGUCGUUACUACCGAUUGAAUGGCUCAGUGAGGCCUUGGGACUGGCUCAGGAAGGUUGGCAACGACCCUCCAGAGCCGGAAACUUGGUCAAACUCGGUCAUUUAGAGGAAGUACAAGUCGUAACAAGGUUUCCGUAGGUGAACCUGCGGAAGGAUCAUUACCGAGUGAGGGCCCUCUGGGUCCAACCUCCCACCCGUGUUUAUUCUACCUUGUUGCUUUGGCGGGCCCGCCUCACGGCCGCCGGGGGGCUUCUGCCCCCGGGCCCGCGCCCGCCGAAGACACCUAGAACUCUGUCUGAAGAUUGUCGUCUGAGUGAAAAUAUAAAUUAUUUAAAACUUUCAACAACGGAUCUCUUGGUUCCGGCAUCGAUGAAGAACGCAGCGAAAUGCGAUACGUAAUGUGAAUUGCAGAAUUCAGUGAAUCAUCGAGUCUUUGAACGCACAUUGCGCCCUCUGGUAUUCCGGAGGGCAUGCCUGUCCGAGCGUCAUUGCUGCCCUCAAGCACGGCUUGUGUGUUGGGCCCCGUCCUCCGAUACCGGGGGACGGGCCCGAAAGGCAGCGGCGGCCCCGAGUCCGGUCCUAGAGCGUAUGGGGCUUUGUCACCCGCUCUGUAGACCCGACAGGCACCUGCCGAUCAACCCCACUUUCCAGGUGACAUCAGAAGCGGUAGUACUUCUUUUCCAAC
rnacentral:rRNA from 1 species